AUUGAACGCUGGCGGCAGGCCUAAUACAUGCAAGUCGAACGGAGUGGCGGACGGGCGAGUAAUGCCUAAGAACCUGCCUGGUAGUGGGGGAUAACGGGCGGAAACGGGCGCUAAUACCGCUUACUAUCCGCUGAGGCGACGGUGGAUUAGCUAGUUGGUGGGGUAUAGGCCUACCAAGGCGACGAUGCGUAACUGGUCUGAGAGGCUGAUCAGCCACACUGGAACUGAGACACGGUCCAGACUCCUACGGGAGGCAGCAGUAGGGAAUCUUGGGCAAUGGGCGAAAGCCUGAUCCAGCCAUGCCGCGUGUGUGAAGAAGGUCUUCGGAUCGUAAAGCACUUUUAGUUGGGAGGCGUUACCUACAGAGUAAGCACCGGCUAACUUCGUGCCAGCAGCCGCGGUAAUAC
rnacentral:rRNA from 1 species